GUGGGGGAUAUUGCACAAUGGGGGAAACCCUGAUGCAGCGAUGCCGCGUGGAGGAAGAAGGUUUUCGGAUUGUAAACUCCUGUCGUAAGGGAAGAGGAAGGACUGUACCUUACAAGAAAGCUCCGGCUAACUACGUGCCAGCAGCCGCGGUAAUACGUAGGGAGCGAGCGUUGUCCGGAAUGACUGGGUGUAAAGGGAGCGUAGGCGGGAUGGCAAGUCAGAUGUGAAACCUGAGGGCUCAACCUUCAGACUGCAUUUGAAACUGCUGUUCUUGAGUGAAGUAGAGGUAAGCGGAAUUCCUGGUGUAGCGGUGAAAUGCGUAGAGAUCAGGAGGAACAUCGGUGGCGAAGGCGGCUUACUGGGCUUUUACUGACGCUGAGGCUCGAAAGCGUGGGGAGCAAACAGGAUUAGAAACCCUAGUAGUCC
rnacentral:rRNA from 1 species